GAUGAAGAACGUAGCGAAAUGCGAUAAGUAGUGUGAAUUGCAGAAUUCAGCGAAUCAUCGAAUCUUUGAACGCACAUUGCGCCCUUCGGUUAUUCCUUAGGGCAUGCCUGUUCGAGCGUCAUUUCAACCUUCAAGCUCAGCUUGGUGUUGGGUGUUUGUCCCGCCCCCCGCGCGUGGACUCGCCUCAAAUUGAUUGGCAGCCGCAUCCCCCCGCCGCGAGCGCAGCACAGUCGCGCUUACGACGAGGGCGGGUCGGCGCUCCAGAAGCCUAUUUCAACGUCUUGACCUCGGAUCAGGUAGGGAUACCCGCUGAACUUAAGCAUAUCAAUAAGCGGAGG
rnacentral:misc_RNA from 1 species